rnacentral:rRNA from 1 species
GACGAACGCUGGCGGCGUGCUUAACACAUGCAAGUCGAGCGGUAAGGCCCUUUCGGGGGUACACGAGCGGCGAACGGGUGAGUAACACGUGGGUGACCUGCCCUCAGCUCUGGGAUAAGCCUGGGAAACCGGGUCUAAUACUGGAUAUGACUCCAUGACGCAUGUUGUGGGGUGGAAAGCCUUGUGCGGCUGAGGAUGGGCCCGCGGCCUAUCAGCUUGUUGGUGGGGUGAUGGCCUACCAAGGCGACGACGGGUAGCCGGCCUGAGAGGGCGACCGGCCACACUGGGACUGAGACACGGCCCAGACUCCUACGGGAGGCAGCAGUGGGGAAUCUUGCGCAAUGGGCGAAAGCCUGACGCAGCGACGCCGCGUGAGGGAUGACGGCCUGGUGUAAC